rnacentral:rRNA from 1 species
GAUGAACGCUGGCGGCGUGCCUAACACAUGCAAGUCGAGCGGCAGCGAGGGGUGCUUGCACCCUGUCGGCGAGCGGCGGACGGCUGAGUAACGCGUGGGAACGUGCCCCAAAGUGAGGAAUAACUGCCCGAAAGGGUAGCUAAUACCGCAUAUUAUCUUCGGAUCAAAGGAUUUAUCCGCUUUGGGAGCGGCUCGCGUCGGAUUAGGUAGUUGGUGAGGUAAUGGCUCACCAAGCCGACGAUCCGUAGCUGGUCUGAGAGGAUGACCAGCCAGACUGGAAAUGAGACACGGUCCAGACUCCUACGGGAGGAAGCAGUGAGGAAUCGUCCACAAUGGGCGAAAGACUGAGGGAGCAACGCCGCGUGCAGGACGAAGGCCUUCGGGUUGUAAACUGCUUUUAUAAGUGAGGAAUAUGACGGUAACUUAUGAAUAAGGAUCGGCUAACUACGUG